ensembl:lncRNA
UUUUUGUUUUCUUUCCCAGGGGAACCCGAGUGCUGGUAUUUAGGCAGGAAAGGAGUUGCCUUUGCUUUAGGGAGCUUCUCUGACCAGACAGAGGUUUCCUAUCCUGUUCUGACACUCCUCGGACAUGCCUUCUUUGGUAGUGGACAGGAGAUUCUCCAGCAGAUAUCACACCCACCCCCCCAAGGAAUUCUUUGGGUCCCUGCUGCCCCAGAGAGUAAUAUGGACUAACUGACUCAAUGGACAUGACUCUGAGCAACUCCAGGAGAGAAUGAAGGACAGGGAAGCCUGGUGUGCUGGAGUCCGUGGGGCACAAAGGGUUGGACACGAUUUAGCGACUGACAACAACUACGACAACACGGACUAAUUGGAGAAACACUAUGGGCUGGCUUCUGUUGCUGAUCACUGUGACCUCAGGGUUCAUCCAUGUUGCAGCAGCUGUCAGAAUAUCCUUCCUCUUAAGGCGGAAUACCAUUGCCUUGAAUGAAUGAACCGCACUCUCCUUGGACUGCAUGCCAGUCAUCCAUCCAUGGACACGAGGGGCCUCUGCACUUGGCAACUGUGAGUCAUGCUGCUAUGAACACAGGGUGUGCAAAAAUCUGUUUGAGUUCCUGCUUUCAAUUCUUCUGAAUAUAUACCCAGGAGUAGAGUUGCUGGGUCAUAUGUCAAUUCUAUGUUUAAUUUUUUGAGGAAUCAUAAACGUUGCAUUUUAUUUAUUUUUUAUUGAAGUAUAGCUGAUUUAUAAUAUCAUGUUAAUUACAGGUGUACAGCAUAGCAAUUCAGUUCCACACACACAUAUAUCCUUCAGAUUCUCUUCCCUUAUAAGCUAUUACAGAAUACUGAAUUCCCUGUGCCAGUAGGUUCUGGCUGCUUAUCUAUCUAAUACACAGUAGGGUGUAUAUGUUAAUCCCAACCUCUUAUUUGAAUGUUGCAUUUUAAAAC